AACGUACGCUGGCGGCACGCCUAACACAUGCAAGUCGAACGAAGUAGCAAUACUUAGUGGCAGACGGGUGAGUAACAUGUAGGUAUCUGCCCUUUGGCCUGGAAUAACACGAGGAAACUUGUGCUAAUACCGGAUAAGUCUUUACGGAGAAAGCUUUAUGCACCAUUGGAUGAGCCUGCACUUGAUUAGUUUGUUGGUGGGGUAAUGGCCUACCAAGACUGUGAUCAAUAGCUGAUUUGAGAGGAUGAUCAGCCACAUUGGGACUGAGACACGGCCCAAACUCCUACGGGAGGCAGCAGUGGGGAAUCUUGCACAAUGGAGGAAACUCUGAUGCAGCGAUGCCGCGUGAGUGAAGAAGGCCCUUGGGUUGUAAAGCUCUUUCGUCGGGGAAGAAAAUGACUGUACCCGAAUAAGAAGGUCCGGCUAACUUCGUGCCAGCAGCCGCGGUAAUACGAAGGGACCUAGCGUAGUUCGGAAUUACUGGGCUUAAAGAGUUCGUAGGUGGUUGAAAAAGUUAGUGGUGAAAUCCCAGAGCUUAACUCUGGAACUGCCAUUAAAACUUUUCAGCUAGAGUAUGAUAGAGGAAAGCAGAAUUUCUAGUGUAGAGGUGAAAUUCGUAGAUAUUAGAAAGAAUACCAAUUGCGAAGGCAGCUUUCUGGAUCAUUACUGACACUGAGGAACGAAAGCAUGGGUAGCGAAGAGGAUUAGAUACCCUCGUAGUCCAUGCCGUAAACGAUGUGUGUUAGACGUUGGAAAUUUAUUUUCAGUGUCGCAGGGAAACCGAUAAACACACCGCCUGGGGAGUACGACCGCAAGGUUAAAACUCAAAUGAAUUGACGGGGACCCGCACAAGUAGUGGAGCAUGUGGUUUAAUUCGAAGAUACGCGCAGAACCUUACCAACACUUGACAUGUUCGUCGCGACUCUAAGAGAUUAGAGUUUUCGGUUCGGCCGGACGAAACACAGGUGCUGCAUGGCUGUCGUCAGCUCGUGUCGUGAGAUGUUGGGUUAAGUCCCGCAACGAGCGCAACCCUCACUUUUAGUUGCCAUCAUUAAAUUGGGCACUCUGAAAGAACUGCCAGUGAUAAGCUGGAGGAAGGUGGGGAUGACGUCAAGUCCUCAUGGCCCUUACGUGUUGGGCUACACACGUGCUACAAUGGUAUCUACAACAGGAAGCAAGACUGCGAAGUUAAGCAAAUCCCUAAAAGAUACCUCAGUUCGGAUUGCACUCUGCAACUCGAGUGCAUGAAGCUGGAAUUACUAGUAAUCGUGGAUCAGCGUGCCACGGUGAAUGCGUUCCCGGGUCU
rnacentral:rRNA from 1 species